rnacentral:rRNA from 1 species
GACGAACGCUGGCGGCGUGCUUAACACAUGCAAGUCGAACGGAAAGGCCCUGCUUUUGUGGGGUGCUCGAGUGGCGAACGGGUGAGUAACACGUGAGUAACCUGCCCUUGACUUUGGGAUAACUUCAGGAAACUGGGGCUAAUACCGGAUAGGAGCUCCUGCUGCAUGGUGGGGGUUGGAAAGUUUCGGCGGUUGGGGAUGGACUCGCGGCUUAUCAGCUUGUUGGUGGGGUAGUGGCUUACCAAGGCUUUGACGGGUAGCCGGCCUGAGAGGGUGACCGGGCAAAUUGGGACUGAGAUACGGGCCAGACUCCUACGGGAGGCAGCAGUGGGGAAUAUUGCAAAAUGGGCGGAAGCCUGAUGCAGCAACGCCGCGUGCGGGAUGACGGCCUUCGGGUUGUAAACCGCUUUCGCCUGUGACGAAGCGUGAGUGACGGUAAUGGGUAAAGAAGCACCGGCUAACUACGUG